UGAUUGUUUAAGUACAGCCUAUCAAGAUCGUUGAUACCAAAAUAAAUACUUAAAUCAAUUUGGUGGUGGUAAUCAAUAUGCAUAUUAUCACGAAGAAGAUGAAUCAACUUUCCAUCUUGUUGACACAAGUUGACCACAAAAGCCUGUUUACAUGCGCAAUAGGAACAAAUUCAGUCAGAGAAAUAAUUGACGUGAUAAAGAGCGUCAGAUGCCACGUCAACAAGCUGGGAUGCAGAAUUUGCUGAAGACUCGUGACAACAGACUCCUUCGUAAAUUGCAGAAACAAUUUGCCUACAGAAACAACUGGCAGGAGCGUAGAAAUCAGAUCACGAUUCUUGUCUCAACAAUUGUUCGAAAGAGAAGUCACUUUUAACCAACGAUUUAUGAUGGUAAGAUUUUUACAUCAACAAAAUAAACUCAUGAGAAAGUUA